UGGGAGCAAGCUCCAAAGUGCAGAACACAAAGCUUUCAGAAAAGUCCACGUAGAGCUUCACUCCUCAUCAUGUCCUUUCUGGGAGAUCAAAAUGGAGGAAGAAAAAUGAAAUGGAAGUAAACAAGUGAGAUGUCAUCAUUGAUUUUAUUUUGAUCCUGUUGGGGAAGCCCUUUCUGCAGAUCCUGAUGCCUUCCAGCACACCGUUACAGCGCAGCUGGUGCAUGACCAGAGGUUUAUCCAUGGCCCCAGGAGUCUUGGUCUCGUUGGGGAUGAUGCAGCGCACAAAGUGGGGAUGAAGUUGAGGUUCAACCAAACUACUGUCAGGUGAAUUCCUGCUGUCCAGCUGUCAUUCCAUGCUGAAGCUCCAAAUUUACUCUGAGGUAAGUGUUAACUCCAGAGUUCUCUGUUAAAUUCUUGUGUUUAGCUUGGUUGUAUUUGUAUUUUGGCCACACAUUUAGGUACUUACUGUUCUCCCUGCUCGCAGUAAAGACAGAUGUGAUGUCACUGAUCUAGCAAGGAAACAAUACAUGUAGAAUAUAGCUGAUCAUGUAAACAUGUUGCCACAAUUAAAGUGUGCAUAGACACAUAAUAUAAUAGCUUAACCUCCCACAGACAUGGCACCUGCAAUGUGUACUAGUGAUAAUUCGCCCCAGCAAGCUAAAGCACAGUGGCCUAUGUUGUUAUUCUGUGACUUACCUUCAGAUGAUUCAAGUUCAGACCCUGCUGGUUGACCAGCCCCUGCACUUGCUUUUAUAAAGUUAGCCGCUCUCUAAAUAUGGAUAAUGGCUCUGAAUGCAUCAACACUGUCAUUGUCUCGUUUUGGUGGCGGAGAGGGUGGGGUGGGGUGGCUGGAAUUGUGGUUAUUCCAUGGAUCGUGCCAGCGAGUGGCUCCACCAGGAAACCAGCUGGCGGGGAGUGCUGCUGGGAUGAACCCCACAUCUGCACCGGCAGCCCAAGGCGCCCCCAGGGGACGGACGAGGUAUUUGGAGAAGCAGAGCAUCACAUAAGCAAUCAUCAGAUCAGAUCGUUCUAUAAGCAUAGGUCAUUAGUCACUGUUCGUCUGCAUCAUCACUCUCAGUCUCAGCAAAGCCCACAUACUCCUAGUCUCCAUCAUCUCGGUGGAGUGCACAGUUAAGUGGCUGCAGAAUGUUCUCAGCAUCUAUUACUUCUUAAUGCCAUCACGUAAAUCCCAGUGACGAUGUUGAUGGACAGUGUGGCUCCAUUCAGUUAUGUUCUAUAGAAUUGAAGACAUCUAUACAGUCACUGUAAUUGUAGAUCAACAAGGUAGGUCUUGCCAUAUGCAUUGCAAUAGAUGGGAGUGUAUAUUUUUACCCAUUAUCUUAGGUGCUACUUUUGGAAACAAUCAGUCGGGUGAGUUCAGUGGAAAAACAUCUCAUAGCAUAUGAGAGAUAUUUUGCACAUACACAGCUGUCGUGAGCAUAGUAAAAGGUUUCUGUUCACUCAUGUCUACAGCUGAAAUGCAUUUGUAGGCUGUAAAUGUUACCAAUUAAAUAAAUUGCUGGAUGAUGCA